AUUGAACGCUGGCGGCAGGCUUAACACAUGCAAGUCGAGCGGAGAUGAGGUGCUUGCACCUUAUCUUAGCGGCGGACGGGUGAGUAAUGCUUAGGAAUCUGCCUAUUAGUGGGGGACGACAUUCCGAAAGGAAUGCUAAUACCGCAUACGUCCUACGGGAGAAAGCAGGGGAUCUUCGGACCUUGCGCUAAUAGAUGAGCCUAAGUCGGAUUAGCUAGUUGGUGGGGUAAAGGCCUACCAAGGCGACGAUCUGUAGCGGGUCUGAGAGGAUGAUCCGCCACACUGGGACUGAGACACGGCCCAGACUCCUACGGGAGGCAGCAGUGGGGAAUAUUGGACAAUGGGCGCAAGCCUGAUCCAGCCAUGCCGCGUGUGUGAAGAAGGCCUUUUGGUUGUAAAGCACUUUAAGCGAGGAGGAGGCUACUUGGAUUAAUACUCUAGGAUAGUGGACGUUACUCGCAGAAUAAGCACCGGCUAACUCUGUGCCAGCCGCCGCGGUAACAC
rnacentral:rRNA from 1 species